UUUAAAUAAAGAAUUCGGCA
rnacentral:sRNA from 1 species